rnacentral:lncRNA from 1 species
GAUGGAUGAUGUAGCAGUUCAGGGAUUGCAGCAGUGGGAGCCUUAAAGCAGGUGCUUUACAAGAAGACCGACAGAGCCCUUUUGCGGAAAUACUGGUCAGAGCUCCUGAGAAGCCAGAAAUCCAUCCUCCCUCCACACUUUGUCCUGACCUCAGUGAGACUCGCGGGAGUGCAGAGUCCCAGCGCCUGUCCCCAGCAGUGGGUGGUGCCUGCUAUUUCAGAUGCUGUUUACCGUAAGUAAGAAAGACUGCAAUGAUAUAGCAUGAAUGUAAGUGCUAAGAAACAGGCAAGAUGCCCAGCCACCCCACCGAGACUGGGCUGGGAACGGCAUGCGUAACAUCAGCCACAGCUUUGGGGGAUAGUUGG